CAAUUUAAACAACGAAGAGUUUGAUCCUGGCUCAGGAUGAACGCUAGCGACAGGCUUAACACAUGCAAGUCGAGGGGCAGCACAGGUAGCAAUACCGGGUGGCGACCGGCGCACGGGUGAGUAACGCGUAUGCAACUUACCUAUCAGAGGGGGAUAACCCGGCGAAAGUCGGACUAAUACCGCAUGAAGCAGGGGCCCCGCAUGGGGAUAUUUGCUAAAGAUUCAUCGCUGAUAGAUAGGCAUGCGUUCCAUUAGGCAGUUGGCGGGGUAACGGCCCACCAAACCGACGAUGGAUAGGGGUUCUGAGAGGAAGGUCCCCCACAUUGGUACUGAGACACGGACCAAACUCCUACGGGAGGCAGCAGUGAGGAAUAUUGGUCAAUGGGCGNCCGCCGGCGACCGGCGCACGGGUGAGUAACGCGUAUGCAACUUGCCUAUCAGAGGGGGAUAACCCGGCGAAAGUCGGACUAAUACCGCAUGAAGCAGGGGUCCCGCAUGGGGAUAUUUGCUAAAGAUUCAUCGCUGAUAGAUAGGCAUGCGUUCCAUUAGGCAGUUGGCGGGGUAACGGCCCACCAAACCGACGAUGGAUAGGGGUUCUGAGAGGAAGGUCCCCCACAUUGGUACUGAGACACGGACCAAACUCCUACGGGAGGCAGCAGUGAGGAAUAUUGGUCAAUGGGCGUAAGCCUGAACCAGCCAAGUCGCGUGAGGGAUGAAGGUUCUAUGGAUCGUAAACCUCUUUUAUAAGGGAAUAAAGUGCGGGACGUGUCCCGUUUUGUAUGUACCUUAUGAAUAAGGAUCGGCUAACUCCGUGCCAGCAGCCGCGGUAAUACGGAGGAUCCGAGCGUUAUCCGGAUUUAUUGGGUUUAAAGGGUGCGUAGGCGGCCUUUUAAGUCAGCGGUGAAAGUCUGUGGCUCAACCAUAGAAUUGCCGUUGAAACUGGGGGGCUUGAGUAUGUUUGAGGCAGGCGGAAUGCGUGGUGUAGCGGUGAAAUGCUUAGAUAUCACGCAGAACCCCGAUUGCGAAGGCAGCCUGCCAAGCCAUGACUGACGCUGAUGCACGAAAGCGUGGGGAUCAAACAGGAUUAGAUACCCUGGUAGUCCACGCAGUAAACGAUGAUCACUAGCUGUUUGCGAUACAGUGUAAGCGGCACAGCGAAAGCGUUAAGUGAUCCACCUGGGGAGUACGCCGGCAACGGUGAAACUCAAAGGAAUUGACGGGGGCCCGCACAAGCGGAGGAACAUGUGGUUUAAUUCGAUGAUACGCGAGGAACCUUACCCGGGUUUGAACGCAUUCGGACCGAGGUGGAAACACCUUUUCUAGCAAUAGCCGUUUGCGAGGUGCUGCAUGGUUGUCGUCAGCUCGUGCCGUGAGGUGUCGGCUUAAGUGCCAUAACGAGCGCAACCCUUGCCACUAGUUACUAACAGGUGAUGCUGAGGACUCUGGUGGGACUGCCAGCGUAAGCUGCGAGGAAGGCGGGGAUGACGUCAAAUCAGCACGGCCCUUACAUCCGGGGCGACACACGUGUUACAAUGGCGUGGACAAAGGGAAGCCACCUGGCGACAGGGAGCGAAUCCCCAAACCACGUCUCAGUUCGGAUCGGAGUCUGCAACCCGACUCCGUGAAGCUGGAUUCGCUAGUAAUCGCGCAUCAGCCAUGGCGCGGUGAAUACGUUCCCGGGCCUUGUACACACCGCCCGUCAAGCCAUGGGAGCCGGGGGUACCUGAAGUCCGUAACCGCGAGGAUCGGCCUAGGGUAAAACUGGUGACUGGGGCUAAGUCGUAACAAGGUAGCCGUACCGGAAGGUGCGGCUGGAACACCUCCUUUCU
rnacentral:rRNA from 1 species